CCGCCCCCCGCGUCAGCGCCCGCAGAUUGGCGGAGCCGUGGCCCCGCGAGGCCCGGCCGGCCGGGCGCUAGCCCGCGCUCCGCUCUCUCCUCCCCUUGGCCGCGCCCCGCGGUGUCGCCGCGCCUCCUCGGCGCUCGCCGAGCCGGGAGCCGGAGAGGCCGGGCUGGGAACCUGCAGGCAGCGAGGGCUCCGGCCCUGUGCGCGCGGCUCUCGGCCUGGUCGCCUACGUCCCUGAAGCUCCGUGCGCCGCCAGCUGCAGCCGCACGACUCCUCCCCGGCGACUGGAGACCAGAAAGCAGGCCAAGUCCCUCCCCGGAGCCCGCGGGGCGUCUGCGCGGCCGGACGAGCUCCCCUCCGGGCGGUGUCCUGACACCUCGGGUUCCCGCAGCCCGCUAGGUGGAGGACGAAGGGACGACGUUGCCACGCGGCGGAGAAAACGGCGGGGGAGUGGGCCCCAAUCCGAGGGGACGCCAGAAGCUCGGCAAGGCUGCCGGGCCCACCCCACCCCAGGGGACACGCCUGCGCCUUAACCCUAGCGGCGCUGCGCCGGGCCUGGCUGAGUGACACGGAUGCGCGGGCGGUGGGCGGGGCGCGUCUCGCUGCCAGCCCUCUGGGAUGCUAAAUCGGGGAUCCAGGCACUUCCCAGAGGGUCACACACAAGGCUUUGCUCUCAUGGCCUCGCCCAGAGGCCCCAGGAAGGCCAAGGCGAUUCAUGCAGAAAAGGUUUCUGAAGAGAAUUCCCAGUGAGCAGUCAUCGAACUAGAAGUACUGGAGGGGAAGGAGCCACGCGAAGAGUAAGCCCUGAGGAUAGAGAGAGGAGAGAGCAGAGGGUGGACAUGUCCCAGACUGGAACAGAGCAACUGCAAUCUCUGAGGAGCAGGUGGAGAGCCUCGGUUUGAC
ensembl:lncRNA